rnacentral:rRNA from 1 species
UACGUAGGGUGCAAGCGUUAAUCGGAAUUACUGGGCGUAAAGCGUGCGCAGGCGGUUGUGCAAGACCGAUGUGAAAUCCCCGGGCUUAACCUGGGAAUGGCAUUGGUGACUGCACGGCUAGAGUGUGUCAGAGGGGGGUAGAAUUCCACGUGUAGCAGUGAAAUGCGUAGAGAUGUGGAGGAAUACCGAUGGCGAAGGCAGCCCCCUGGGAUAGCACUGACGCUCAUGCACGAAAGCGUGGGGAGCAAACAGG